AUUAUUUUCUCUCUGUUAUUACGUCUCUAAUCGUCCGAAAUAGGCAUCUAAUUACACCGGAGCUUGGGGGGCUUCGCCCCCGGAGCCCACACCAGUGGCUCUGCCCUUAGACCCCGCUGGGUGCCUUCGCCCGCUCCCAGACCCUCGUCCUUCGGGUUUUGGCAGCUUGGGCAGCUCUCAAUAUUUUACAAGACAGGAUCUCCGAAGAGAUACUUUUUUUUAUGUAAGUAAACCAUGAUAUAAUAGGAUAAACUCAUAAACUGCCUUCAGGUACCUGUAAUGCUAUAAUAAUAUAUAAAUAUGAACACACUUGUUAAGUAUAGGAUGUAUAAGUUAAUUUGACAACAGUUUGUCACAUAUUUUUAUAUAGGCCUACCUUGUCGGCUGAUGUUUGAAUCGUCUGUGACCUGUCGUGAGGGGUAUUGUAUCACAGCGCGCUCAUGUGAGCAGUUAUGCUUCCUGGCACCGGUUGGUGUGGUAACCGAUUCCUGGGCGCAGUCAUUUUCUUGGCUAUCAACCGUUGGUGAUUUUUGCCUGGAUGAUUGAAGCUUCUUAUUAUAUUGUAUUGAUGUUUUCCUAGAACUGACGUAUACCAGAUCACUUGGUUCAGACGAAUAUAGACUACGUUAGCACUGCUAAGGUCUUUCCUGCAGCACAAACAGUUAAGUCAGCUUUUUGGGUAAAACUACAAUCAAUCUCUUCAUACAUCCAUCUGGUACUGUACCUACGAAUAGAACUUGCCGGAUUGUCAAUCAAACAUAACAUCUGCAGACCAAUCAGAGCAUCGUUAAGACUACGCGCUUCUCCCUCAAACACAUCUGUGUCCCACAAACGCACGUGUUUACGCACGUCUACUUUAUCUUUUUUUGUGAGAUAUUAGCACCAUUAUCCAAGGGCGGGGUUUAGCGGAAUGGUUAAUUGAUGUUAAUAUUCCUAAACUCGGGUGCUAUUAUUUUAGGAAUUUCUCAAGUGCCGCCAACUGAUGUAUUAAUUAGUUUUAUAAGAAUACGUAUAGAACGGAUGUAUACUCAAGUGACAGUCAUAAAACAGCAUUUUAUUGAUAUUUGUUGAAACGUUUAUAUUCUGUAAACCAUCCUGUCAUCAACAUCUUUUAAUCAAUUUGAUAAGUCUUUGUACUAAUUGAUCUAUUGUUUGGGAGAAAAGUUUAAAGUGUAUUGAUGCUGAUCAUCAGCAAGACCACCUUUUCUCAUAUUUAUUACUUUUUAAAGGUACUGAUACCUAUAAAUUAUGAAUUUAUUAUUCAUGUUCUUAUCACGUUGUCUUUUUAAUGUUAUAUAUUUAAAUAAAAAUCCACCAUGAGCUUAUUUUUGUAUUGCCUACGUACAUUUGACAUUCCUUAACUUUAGUAAUUAUUACUGGUUUUGAAAAUGUUUAGAGGCAUAAAAUAACAAUUAUCUAUUUGAGUCAGUUCAAUUAAAUUCAAUUUUAUUAGCUGCUAGUGCCAUUAAGUGCAAA